UGCCUACGGGAGGCAGCAGUGGGGAAUAUUGCACAAUGGGGGGAACCCUGAUGCAGCGACGCCGCGUGAAGGAAGAAGUAUUUCGGUAUGUAAACUUCUAUCAGCAGGGAAGAAAAAGGACGGUACCUGACUAAGAAGCCCCGGCUAACUACGUGCCAGCAGCCGCGGUAAUACGUAGGGGGCGAGCGUUAUCCGGAUUUACUGGGUGUAAAGGGGGCGCAGACGGCCAUGGCAAGCCCGGUGCGAAAGGUGCGGGCACAACCCGCAGACUGCACUGGUAACUGCCUGGCUGGAGUGCCGGAGGG
rnacentral:rRNA from 1 species